UAAAGUGGCCUCAGCGUGGGCAGAGCAGCAGAGAGGAGCCAGUUACUCAGAGGGCAGAUGCUCCAUGGAAGCCUCCAGCACAAGCAGUCAACCCCUAAAGCCUCCAACAGGAAUGCCGUUCUGGAAUUACAGUAAGGAAACUAUGCAACGUGCAGACAAAGCUAUGUGCAUGAGGAUAUUCAUCACAACAUUUUAAAGGACAAGACUGGGAACAACCGAUGUCUAACAGGGAAUGGUUCAAUCCACAAUGGGGCUUCUCUCUUAAAUACCUUACUGCUGUUUAAAAUAAAGUUUAUAAAGAGUUUGAGUGAUAUGGGGACAUGCUUAGGCUGUAAUGUUAAGGAAAUAAAAUGGGCUUAAGAAUAAAAAUACACAUUAUAAUAAUAGCUAUGUUGGUGUGCUGAGGAAGAAAAAUUUA